UACGUAGGCAGCGAGCGUUGUUCGGAGUUACUGGGCGUAAAGGGUGUGUAGGCGGUUGUUUAAGUUUGGUGUGAAAUCUCCCGGCUCAACUGGGAGGGUGCGCCGAAUACUGAGCGACUAGAGUGCGGGAGAGGAAAGUGGAAUUCCUGGUGUAGCGGUGAAAUGCGUAGAUAUCAGGAGGAACACCGGUGGUGUAGAUGGCUUUCUGGACCGUAACUGACGCUGAGACACGAAAGCGUGGGUAGCAAACAGG
rnacentral:rRNA from 1 species